GGCAACACCAUUAAGGAUGGAGCCAAUCAAGAAUGAAAGACCUCCAAAAAACAUGGAUGGUUUUCGGCCAAAUUUCCGGGUGAUGAUCGAGGCACCAAAGGAUGCCACCAGAGCAGCCAGGUAAAGAGAAGAGGGAAAUCCCCAAGUUGUUAGGAAGGGUGGGAGGAGAUGUUUCAAGUUGGAGGAUGUUUCCCGAUGAUCACAUUAUGCAGAUUCAACUGGUAAAACUUGGCGGAUCACAGUCUUCAUGAUGUGAGUUUAUUAGGAAAUGCCUAUAGAUUCCAUUCACUCUAAUUGUUAUAAAAUAUAUUGUAUAUGAAUCUCAUAAUCAUGCUCUACACAUAUUCUUAUUUAUAAA